GGGGCUGUGGCGUAAUUGGUAGCGCGUGAGACUCCAGAUCUUAAGGUUAUCCGUUCAAGUCGGGUCAGCCUCA
rfam:Aspergillus lentulus DNA, contig: Alt08, strain: IFM 54703.